GACGGGGGGUCCUAGCGUUGUUCGGAAUCAUUGGGCGUAAAGCGGGCGUAGGUGGCUAUGUAAGUCAGGAGUGAAAGCCCUGGGCUCAACCCAGGAAGUGCUUUUGAAACUGCGAUGCUUGAGUGUGGAAGAGGAUAGUGGAAUUCCUGGUGUAGUGGUGAAAUACGUAGAUAUCAGGAGAACACCGGUGGCGAAAGCGGCGCACUGGACCACAACUGACGCUGAGGCGCGAAGGCUAGGGGAGCAAACAGG
rnacentral:rRNA from 1 species